CCCCUCUCAAGCAGCUGAAGGCGUAAAAACAAAACAAAAAACCCUUUCAGUCACUUACCUGAACCAGCGCCGAAGUCCCUUUGUGCUGGGUCAGGCUGUGCCCAAGAUCCUCCCCCUGCGAGACCUAAGGAGCAUGCGCGGCAAUGGCCAUGCUCGCAUUAGUAUUUCCCCAUAGGAAAGCAUUAUUCAAAGGCUUUCCUAUGCGGAAAAAAAAAUCUGACACUAGAGGUCCUCAUGCAGAGCAUGAGGACGUCCAGCAUCAGAUAACGGACCAAACAUCAGUUUCGAUUCCGGAAUUAGAGUUAAAG